UUUAGGCUUUAUCGAAGUCACUUAUUGUCUACUUGACUUUGAGUGGUCAAAAGUAAGCCAAUAGAAAAUCUUUCAGACGGUCGCUGUUUAGUUUUCUAACUUUAUAGCAUUACCAAAUGUCAGUACAGUA